CUGAUUCCCAGCUGGAGGAGAGGGAGAGGAGGUGCUGGAUGACAUGUCUAAGAGGCAGAUGGGGAAGCAGGCCCAAGUGGAGAAGGAUCCCCCUUUGGAACCAUGGUGCAGAGGGUGAACUGGAGAUGACGGGGCAGUUGGAGGCCAGUUGCAGUGUGGUGCUUCAACGGGUUGCACUUCGACAAAUAUCAAGUUCUUCGGGUUUUGACAGAUGCAGAGAAAUUGUGCAUCUUCUACCUCAAGACCAUACAGAACAUCACCCUAAAUAUUUCCCUGAACAUCCCCUUUGUGGUCGACCACACCCCCGGCAACCACUGAGGAUAAGCUGAAGUCUUACGCAUGAAUGUAAUUCUAAAAGAGAGAGCGCGUGUGUGCAUGAGUCAGGAAGAGCCAAAAAGUGAGAAUCUUCAAGCAGACUCUCUGCUGAGCAUAGAACCUGAGGCAGGGCUCCAUCCCAGGAC